UACGUAGGUGGCAAGCGUUGUCCGGAAUUAUUGGGCGUAGAGCGCGCGCAGGCGGCUUCUUAAGUCUGAUGUGAAAUCUCGGGGCUCAACCCCGAGCGGCCAUUGGAAACUGGGAAGCUUGAGUGCAGAAGAGGAGAGUGGAAUUCCACGUGUAGCGGUGAAAUGCGUAGAUAUGUGGAGGAACACCAGUGGCGAAGGCGACUCUCUGGUCUGUCACUGACGCUGAGGCGCGAAAGCGUGGGGAGCAAACAGG
rnacentral:rRNA from 1 species